rnacentral:rRNA from 1 species
GAUCUUUAUAUAUUAAAUAAUUAGUAAACGUUAGAUUAAUUUUUUUUUUAAUUAUUGAUAUAUUAUAUUGGGGUAAUAAUAAAAUUUUAAAAAUUUUUAUUUUUUAUUAUCAACUAUGAUUGAUUUUUUGAUCCAAUAUUAUUGAUUAUAAAUUUAAGUUACCUUAGGGAUAACAGCGUAAUGAUUUUUGAGAGUUCUUAUUGA